ACAACAGUUGGAAACGACUGCUAAUACCGCAUAAUGUAUCCGGGAGGCAUCUCCUGGAUACCAAAGGAGAAAUCCGCUGAUGGAUGGGCUCACGUCUGAUUAGCUAGUUGGUGAGGUAACGGCUCACCAAGGCUGCGAUCAGUAGCCGGACUGAGAGGUUGAACGGCCACAUUGGGACUGAGAUACGGCCCAGACUCCUACGGGAGGCAGCAGUGGGGAAUACUGGGCAAUGGGCGAAAGCCUGACCCAGCAACGCCGCGUGAAGGAAGAAGGCCUUCGGGUUGUAAACUUCUUUUAAGAGGGACGAAGAAGUGACGGUACCUCUUGAAUAAGCCACGGCUAACUACGUGCCAGCAGCCGCGGUAAUACGUAGGUGGCGAGCGUUAUCCGGAUUUACUGGGUGUAAAGGGCGCGUAGGCGGGAAUGCAAGUCAGAUGUGAAAUCCAAGGGCUCAACCCUUGAACUGCAUUUGAAACUGUAUUUCUUGAGUGUCGGAGAGGUUGACGGAAUUCCUAGUGUAGCGGUGAAAUGCGUAGAUAUUAGGAGGAACACCAGUGGCGAAGGCGGUCAACUGGACGAUAACUGACGCUGAGGCGCGAAAGCGUGGGGAGCAAACAGGAUUAGAUACCCUGGUAGUCCACGCCGUAAAC
rnacentral:rRNA from 1 species